rnacentral:lncRNA from 10 species
CCCUGCUGCCGCAGCUCCAGCAAACCCUGCUGGAAGACACAGGUGCAGGGAUGCGAGGCGGGGCUCCCAAGCCGCCCACCCAGCUGUGACUCCACCGGCGAGAUCAAGACGUCAAGAAGCAACUGGCCCGUGCACGUGCCAUCACCACAGUGGCAAACCAGGUGAGCACAAAUGCAUCUGUGCUCAGACCCAGCAGGCAUCUGAGUCCUGCCGCACAACUCGCCGGAGCCUUGUCAUUGACCACUGUCCACACAGUGUGCCCAACACUGACAUCCUUCCUCAACAGCUGCACAGGGAGGAAAACGCUGAUUCACCUCUGGGCAAAGAUGCUGCCCCUGCCCAGGACAGCAGCCAGCGGCCCACCCAGUCCGGGGCACACUCUCUGUGCUGUGCAGUGUGUGACUGACAAGACCCUUCCCAUAGGCACAUAGGCACGCCGCCCCAGGGAACAUGUGUACACAGGUCUAUAUGAGUCAGGAGGAGGCUCAGGGCCUGCAGAAAGCAAUGCUUGAAAAACAUUCCAUCAAGCAGGCUCUGCCUUGCAAAGCAGGAGGAAGAAAACUGCGGAGGAGAGGAACUCGGCCCUUCCACAGCUGCCCCCUUCCAGCUUCCCGGCCACUGUGCCUGAAGACACCCUGGGCCACCUGGGCCUGGAGGAUGCCGAGGGUUGGCGAGGGGCCCUGAAAGCUGGGGCAGCCUUUGGCCUCCUGUUGCCCGCCCCGGCACGCCCCCACCCAUGCAGAGAUUCUCCAGGUCUGGCCCUUCCUCUGGUCCUGGACUAAGAAAGCUGGGUGGACCCAUUCCCCGAGCCGGCCAGCCCCAGCAGGCCCUGGCACAGCUCCACACACAGACCCUGACAGCUGUGGGAGGCGUGUUGUCACACAUGAGGAAGACACGCUUGGCCUCCUUGCCCUUCGGCCUCCUCACCUGGGAAGUGAGAAUGGCGACCUUUACUGCUAUGCCCCAGCAUGCGGGCAGGGUUUAAACGGGGAAUCCACAGAGCACCAGGCACCCGGCUGAGGCUCCUAGGAUGUGGCUUUGUGUGUAGGUGGUGGUGGGGGCUCCUGUUGUGGCAGCUCCACCCUCAGGAGCUCUCCCUCCUGAAGCUCUGCGGCCAGGUCAGCCUCAGCACGCCAGGCUCCCUCCACAACCCAGGGCCCGUCUGUCCUCAGAUCAUGUUGUGUCUAACACCAGGGCUUCAGUCACCACCUUGAAACAGGUGAUGCAUGAAUCCACUUCCCAAAGCCAGGCCGCCGGCUGAGCAUCAUGCCAGUGAUCCCUUCCUUCCUUCUAUGAAAGAGAAUCUCAUCAUUGAUCCCCAGCAAAUUCUCACUUGCUGUCCGAGAGCAAGCUCAGCACUCUGGCAGGAGGUGCAGCAGCCUGAGGAGCAUUCACAAGCUCUGUGAGCUCAGCACUCUGGCAGGAGGUACAGCAGCCUGAGGAAGUUCAGCACUCUGGCAGGAGGCUCAACGGCCUCAAGAGCAUGCACAAGCUCUGCAAGCUCAGUACUCUGGCAGGAGGCACAGUGGCCUGAAGAAGCUCAGCACUCUGGCAGGAGGCACAGCGGCCUGAGGAGCAUGCACAAGCUCUGCAGGCAACUGCCAAGUCUCCGUGAUGCCUCUCACAAGUACUGUGACCUUGUGCAGGUGUGCUGCCCCCAGCCAUGUGCCUGACAGUCUGAGAAUUGUGAGUGAGCAUGUAAAGUACCAAGCACACUAUCAGGCAGGACAGCUGCUCCAUGAGUGAAAACUAAACAUCAAAAUCCAGCUUUAAAAAUGGAACCACAGUGAGUUAGUUUUCCAGUGCCCUAGAAAGGUGUCAUAUCCCGGGUCUGCUGAAUUACAAAUGGUUGAUUACUUCUUUUAUGAGCAAAUUUUGAAAUAAUGAAGACAUACAGAAUUCAACUUAGGAGACUUCAUACAUCCUCUCCCUCUCCCUCUCCCUCUCAGUCUCCCUCUCUUGCGGAGCCUGGACUGUACUGCCAUGAUCUUGGCUCGCUGCAACCUCCAUCCCUCGGGCUCCGGUGAUUCUCCUGCCUCGGCCUGCUGAGUGCCUGGGAUUCCAGGCAUGUGCCGCCACUCCUGACUGGUUUUUGUAUUUUUGGUGGAGACAGGGUUUCACCGUGUUGACCGGGCUGGUCUCCAGCUCCUGGCCUUGGGUGAUCUGCCCGCCUCGGCCUCCCGAGGUGCUGGAAUUGCAGACAGAGUCUCGCUCACUCAGUGCUCAAUGUUGCCCAGGCUGGAGUGCAGUGGUGUGAUCUUGGCUCGCUACAACCUCCACCUCCCAGCCGCCUGCCUUGGCCUCCCAAAGUGCUAAAAUUACAGCCUAUGCCCGCCCGCCACCCCAUCUAGGAAGUGAGCAGUGUCUCUGCCUGGCUGCCCAUUGUCUGGGAUGUGAGGAGCACCUCUGCUCGGCCGCCACGCCGUCUGGGAUGUGAGGAGCGUCUCUGCCUGGCCGCCCAUCGUCUGAGAUGUGAGGAGCGCCUCUUCCCGGUCGCCACCCCAUCUGGGAUGUGAGGAGCGUCUCUGCCUGGCCGCCCAUCGUCUGGGAUGUGAGGAGCACCUCUGCCUGGCCGCCCCAUCAGGGAGGAAGUGAGGAGCGCCUCUGCCCGGCUGCCCCGAAUGGGAAGUGAGGAGCGCCUCUGCCCAGCCACCCCAUCUGGGAGGAAGUGAGGAGCGCCUCUGCCCGGCUGCCCCGAAUGGGAAGUGAGGAGCGCCUCUGCCCGGCCACCCCGUCUGGGAGGAAGUGAGGAGCGCCUCUGCCCGGCUGCCCCGAAUGGGAAGUGAGGAGUGCCUCUGCCCGGCCGCCCUGUCUGGGAGGAAGUGAGGAGGGUCUCUUCCUGGCUGCCCCAAAUGGGAAGUGAGGAGUGCCACUGCCCAGCCGCCCCAUCUGGGAGGUGAGGGGCGUCUCUGCCCGGCCGCUCUUCAUCUGGGAGUUGAGGAGUGCCUCUGCCCGGCCGCCCCAUCUGGGAGGUGGGAAGUGCCUCUGCCCGGCCGCCCAUCAUCUGGGAGGUGAGGAGCACCUCUGCCCGGCCGCCCAUCGUCUGGGAUGUGAGGAGCGUCUCUGCCCGGCCGCCACCCCGUUUGGGAGGUGAGGAGUGCCUCUGUCUGGCCGCCACCCCGUCUAGGAAGUGAGGAGCGCCUCUGCCAGGCCACCCCAUCUGGGAAGUGUACCCAACAGCUCCAAAGAGACAGCGACCAUUGAGAACGGGCCAUGAUGACGAUGGCGGUUUUGUCGAAAAGAAAAGAGGGAAAUGAGGGGAAAAGAAAGAGAGAUCAGAUUGUUCCUGUGUCUGUGUAGAAAGAAGUAGACAUAGGAGACUCCAUUUUGUUCUGUACUAAGAAAAAUUCUUCUGCCUUGGGAUCCUGUUGAUCUAUGACCUUACCCUCAACCCUGUGCUCUCUGAAACAUGUGCUGUGUCAACUCAGGGUUAAAUGGAUUAAGGGCGGUGCAAGAUGUGCUUUGUUAAACAGAUGCUUGAAGGCAGCAUGCUCGUUAAGAGUCAUCACCACUCCCUAAUCUCAAGUACCCAGGGACACAAACACUGCGGAAGGCCGCAGGGUCCUCUGCCUAGGAAAACCAGAGACCUUUGUUCACGUGUUUAUCUGCUGACCUUCUCUCCACUAUUAUCCUAUGACCCUGCCACAUCCCCCUCUCUGAG